rnacentral:rRNA from 1 species
GAGUUUGAUAUGGCUCAGAAUCAACGCUGGCGGCGUGCCUAACACAUGCAAGUCGCACGAGAAAAGGGCUUCGGCCCUGAGUACAGUGGCGCACGGGUGAGUAACACGUGAAUUAUCUACCUCCGAGUGGGGAAUAACCUAGAGAAAUCUGGGCUAAUACCGCAUAACACUUACGAGUCAAAGCAGCAAUGCGCUUGGAGAGGAGUUCGCGGCAGAUUAGCUAGUUGGCGGGGUAAUGGCCCACCAAGGCAAUGAUCUGUAUCCGGCCUGAGAGGGCGCACGGACACACUGGAACUGAAACACGGUCCAGACUCCUACGGGAGGCAGCAGUGGGGAAUUUUGCGCAAUGGGGGAAACCCUGACGCAGCAACGCCGCGUGGAGGAUGAAAUCCCUUGGGAUGUAAACUCCUUUCGAUAGGGAAGAUUAUGACGGUACCUAUAGAAGAAGCCCCGGCUAACUUCGUGCCAGCAGCCGCGGUAAUACG